GGGCUUGACAUCCCACGAACCUGCCUGAAAGGGCGGGGUGCCCGCAAGGGAGCGUGGAGACAGGUGGUGCAUGGCUGUCGUCAGCUCGUGUCGUGAGAUGUUGGGUUAAGUCCCGCAACGAGCGCAACCCUCACCCCUGGUUGCCACCGGGUAAAGCCGAGCACUCGAGGGGAACUGCCAGCGUCAAGCUGGAGGAAGGCGGGGAUGACGUCAAGUCAUCGUGCCCCUUACGUCCCGGGCUACACACGUGCUACAAUGGCCGGUACAAAGGGACGCGAGACCGCGAGGUGGAGCCAAUCCCAAAAAACUGGUCUAAGUUCAGAUUGCAGUCUGCAACUCGACUGCAUGAAGGAGGAAUCGCUAGUAAUCGCGCAUCAGCACGGCGCGGUGAAUACGUUCCCGGGCCUUGUACACACCGCCCGUCACACCACGAAAGCUGUCUGUACUCGAAGUCGCUGAG
rnacentral:rRNA from 1 species